CCGAUCCAGCCCAGAAAUCGGGUCGUGAUAGAUUUCUUAUUAAUGAGAUCUUAGAUAUUUAUUAAUGAGAUCUUAAAUAUAUAAAUUAAAUCAUACAUCCUGACAUAUAUAAGAAUUUUCCACACAUAACUGGUCAAGAACUUGAUGCAUGCGAGCCACAGGAAUGCACACAAGUUCAUGGGCCCGUGGAGUGGCUAAUCCAGGCCGUUCAGUCAUGUCAAGAACAUCAUUGCCAUUGGUUUUAACUCCUGAGGGAUUGAUCACCUUCAAAUCAAAGCACUGAAUCGUAGCUGCAAGUGUCAUAUGCAAUUCUUGCAUGGCCAAAGGAAUGCCAGGGCAGAUCCUCCUCCCAGUACCAAAUGGCAACAAUUGAAAAUGUUGGCCUCUAACAUCAGUGGGACUCGACAAGCCAGCCUCGUUAUUGGAAUAUUGCAAGAACCUUUCUGGUUGAAACUGUAAAGGGUUGUCCCAAUACUUGGGAUCUCUUCCGAUGGACCAAAUGUUCACAAAUAACAAAGUAUUUGCAGGGAUUCUAUACCCAAACACCUUGCAUUCUUGUACGGACGUUCUUGAGACCAUAGGAAUUGGUGGGUGCAGCCGAAAUGUUUCUUUGAUGAUAGAUUGAAUGUAAGGAAGAUUCGGAGUAUCGCAUUCUUGAACAAUCCUGCUAUUUCCUACUACCUUGUUUAUUUCCUCUCGAGCUUUCUCAAGAACUGUUGGAUGGUUGAUGAGCUCUGAUAGUGCCCAUUCAAGUAAAAUAGCUGUGGUAUCUGUACCCGCUGUGAAGAAAUCCAAAAUCAAGGCUUUAACAUUAUCCCUCGUUAAUUUAAUCUCUGCAGUGUCAUCCUCCAAAAGAUCAAGUAUCAAGUCCAAGAAAUCCUUAGCCUCAUGCUCUUGUACUCCAUUGAUUCUCUUCUGGUUUCUGACUUGUUCACGGGCUGUCACAUGCUUCUCCACCCACAUGUCAUAUCUUGCCCGUGUCUCCUCAAACCUCUUUCGAAAACCCUGCAAAUCCAAGUUCCUACAAAACCAUACAAAGUCAGAGAUAUUAAACUGUCCAAACAUCUGCGUCACGUCACGAACCACACUUCUAGAAAUUUGCCCAUCCGUCCCUGAGGAUCUAACACUCCACACCAUUUGAGAGAUUACGUUAUUUGACAAUUUCAUCAGCUCCUCAGAAACAUUUACACUGUCACCAACUUUAGACUUGCUGUAAAGGAUUUGAAGGAAAUGGUUCACUUCCUUAAUUCUAAUGGGAGCAAACUGGUUGAUCACUCGGUUUCCUAAAAGCUCAAAGGAGGUCCAUUUCUUGAUGAACUUCCAGUAAGGUCCAUAGGGUGCAAAAGCAAAAGAUGCAUUAUAAGUAAGGUGUUUGAUGGCUAGAGAACUCACACGGCAAGGGAAUGUUUGUUCCUGGGUUUUCAGGAAUUCCUUGGCUAGCUCUGGUGUGGAAGCUACCACGCAAGGUACAGAACCAAGAUUGAGAUAAAAUAAAGGACCAUAGCGAAAUGAAAGAUCGCGAAAGGAAUGGUGAAUUAAGGGUCCAAGGAGAUGCAGGUGACCAAUAACAGGGAAGCCUAUGGGGCCUGGUGGAAGUUGGCUUCGCUGCUUCCUAUUGAAGAAAAAUGCCAAGAAAAUAAAAGCAGCAAAGGACAACAACACCAGCAUCAUGUUGCCAAGAAAAUGCUAUAUCAGUCCUUCACUAUGGUACGCCUAUUUAUAAUGGAGCAAUGCUAGCUGAAAAUAUCACAAUAUGUCAUUCCCUUUUUAAAUAGUUGUUUUUACCUUUUUGCUCUUCGACCUUUUUCACAUCAGAGAUGGCAAUGGGAUUGGUUGGAAAUUUUCUGUUCUAG
rnacentral:misc_RNA from 1 species